GUGGGGAAUAUUGGGCAAUGGGCGAAAGCCUGACCCAGCAACGCCGCGUGAAGGAAGAAGGUUUUCGGAUCGUAAACUUCUAUCCUUGGUGAAGAUAAUGACGGUAGCCGAGAAGGAAGCCCCGGCUAACUACGUGCCAGCAGCCGCGGUAAUACGUAGGGGGCAAGCGUUGUCCGGAAUGAUUGGGCGUAAAGGGCGCGUAGGCGGCCUGGUAAGUCUGGAGUGAAAGUCCUGCUUUUAAGGUGGGAAUUGCUUUGGAUACUGUCGGGCUUGAGUGCAGGAGAGGUAAGUGGAAUUCCCGGUGUAGCGGUGAAAUGCGUAGAGAUCGGGAGGAACACCAGUGGCGAAGGCGACUUACUGGACUGUAACUGACGCUGAGGCGCGAAAGUGUGGGGAGCAAACAGGAUUAGAUACCCUUGUAGUCC
rnacentral:rRNA from 1 species